CCAGGUGUCUGGUAAAAGCACGAUGCUGCUGUCCAAUGAGGCGAGGAGAGAAGUAGCCAAACAGGCGAGAGCCGUGAAGGAGGAACGGCGGGCAGCUCUGGAUGCCCGACAUAAAUACCUGAUGAGCAGGCUGGCCGACGCCGGCAGCCUGGAGGAGGCGGCGGUGGAAGACGCCAUCGUCUCUGAUGACAGAUUCAGUCUGAUCCAUGAAUUCUUUGCUGCAAACGGAUCCAAGAAGCUGAUUUUCUUCUAUCAGGAUGUCAAACAGAGUCUGUCCUCCCGUCAGUCUUCCUUUGUGGACGCAUCAAACUCAGCUGUGGCUCAGAGGAAACUCUUCCUCACUACGGGGAACUCUGAGAGAAGACGUCAAACCCCUUCUUGGCAGUUUAUCUCAAUAAAGCUGUACUAUCCCAGCCAUCUGGGAGGAAGAAAAUGAAAAAGAAAACUUUUGAUGUGUCCAGACAUUUCUUCACAUCAGCUGCCAGCAACCAGUUUCAGCAUGUACAACUGUUGCAUUGUCAACUGUGUCAACGACCAAUGAGGACAUCACUGCUACACUUGAUGAUACUCACACCUUGAAAAAGUGCAAAGGUUUCCCAACAGGACUUCGACGGUUGGUCUUCUUGAUCAAGCUAUAAUCUGUUCUCAUCAAAACCACCAUAAAACCAGUUUGACAGGAUGAUGCUGAUAAAUCCCUCUAGACCUUUUUGUGACAGUAUUAAAAGCUUGCUGGAAAUUCUCUGUACUCAUAUUUGUGCUCAGUAUCUGUAGGAGCCAUUUUUGUGUGGGUACCUCAUGUAUGCCACUAGGGGUCACCUUUUGUGUUACAUAUGGUGUGUCUAUUUAAGGUAGAUAGGUCAUUAGCAGCAGGUGUGUUGUUGUUGGGAAGGAGCAAACAG